AACGAACGCUGGCGGCAUGCCUAACACAUGCCAGUCGAACGAGACCUUCGGGUCUAGUGGCGCACGGGUGCGUAACGCGUGGGAACCUGCCCUUAGGUUCGGAAUAACUCCCCGAAAGGGGUGCUAAUACCGGAUAAUGUCUUCGGACCAAAGAUUUAUCGCCUUUGGAUGGGCCCGCGUUAGAUUAGCUAGUUGGUAGGGUAAAAGCCUACCAAGGCGACGAUCCAUAGCUGGUCUGAGAGGAUGAUCAGCCACACUGGGACUGAGACACGGCCCAGACUCCUACGGGAGGCAGCAGUGGGGAAUAUUGGACAAUGGGCGAAAGCCUGAUCCAGCAAUGCCGCGUGAGUGAUGAAGGCCUUAGGGUUGUAAAGCUCUUUUACCCGGGAUGAUAAUGACAGUACCGGGAGAAUAAGCUCCGGCUAACUCCGUG
rnacentral:rRNA from 1 species